rnacentral:piRNA from 1 species
UCCUUACCGGGAAACAGAUUAACAAUGC